rnacentral:rRNA from 1 species
UACAGAGGAGCCAAGCGUUGUCCGGAUUGACUGGGCGUAAAGCGCACGCAGGCGGUCUGGCGCGUGGGGUGUGAAAUCUGGCCGCUUAACGGCCAGGCGCCAUCCCAUACGGCCGGACUGGAGGGCUGCAGAGGUCGAUGGAAUUGCCGGUGUAGUGGUGAAAUGCGUAGAGAUCGGGAGGAAGGCCGGUGGCGAAGGCGGCGCUCUGGAACAUUUCUGACGCUGAGGCGCGACAGCGUGGGGAGCAAACAGG